AUGCGUUGCGGGAACACACAUCUCUUAGCUCUGAAAUCUGAAUUGCGAGAACACACAUCUCUUAAUUAGCUCUGAAAUCUGAAUUGAGAGGCCGAGCGAUCGCAAUGGCGGCUGCUCGCCGGAGGCUCCGUGUCUCGUUGCAGGUGGCAGUACUACUGGUGUCCCUCUUGCUGCUGCCCGGAUGUCUCGCCGGCCGUCGUGAGCACGCCGGAGUGAAUGUAGACAAAUCUCACGGGAUAGUAAUCAACUGGGAGAAGAAGCAUCCAGUACGUCGGUUAUUUCUAGGCUUGGCAACUAAUAGGCAUCGUCGAAUUCUGUUCUACCGAAAUCCAGGCUUUGAUCCUAAUGGGGAACACUACAGUCCUGUCUCUCCUGCCACCCCAUAGACCGGAAAUUGAUGAGAGAUUGAAAGGGGGAUGUUGCAGCUACAAGAUCCAUAUACCAUUAUAUUAUCUACAAUAUAGGUGUUUUUAAGUUUUUCCAAUGAGAUGUGUAAAGAUGUACUUGAUCAUAAAAAUAUAUAAUUCCACUGGAUUUGUCUCC